rnacentral:rRNA from 1 species
CUCUAUUAGGGUGCAAGCCCGAGAGAGCCGCAGUGAAUAGGCCCAGGCGACUGUUUAGCAAAAACACAGGUCUCUGCAAAACCGUAAGGUGACGUAUAGGGGCUGACGACAGCCCGGUGCUGGAAGGGUAAGAGGAGUGCUUAGCUUCGGCGCAGGAACGAAUUGAAGCCCCAGUAAACGGCGGCCGUAACUAUAACGGUCCUAAGGUAGCGAAAUUCCUUGUCGGGUAAGUUCCGACCCGCACGAAAGGCGCAA